AGUCAAGAAAAAAAAUUACAUAGUAAAUGGUUUGUUCUGUUUAGGCACGUACUGGCAGUACUUCAUUUCAAUGAAAACCUUCACAGACAGCCAAAAAAAAACAAAAAAUGGAACACCAUAUUAUUCUGUGACAUACCCAAAAUUUAAAUCAGGGGAUGAAGUAGUAAGAACUGUUUCUUCAGCACCAUCAUAUUGUAAGUUUAGCAUGUAUGCAUUGGUACUCUUGACUUACACAUCUAACCACUUGUCAUUUUUCCAGACUAUGUUAAUGAAAUCAAAAAUGUCAUGGUUCUUAGUUAUGAGGAAUCCAUGGACAACAUAUUUAAGAAGUAUAAGGAAAAAGUCCCAGAAGCCUGAAACAAAACUUUCUCGGAUCGAAUUUCCAAAACUGAGGCAAUCAAACGGCAGUUGGAUAGGAAACAACUUUCUUCAACAACAUUGUUUCCCACAUAUCAACAGCAAGAUGUACUGCAAGCAAAAGGUUUAGACAAAGAAAAACAAGCUGCUUCAACAGGUCCUUCAGAUCCAAAAA